GACGAACGCUGGCGGCGUGCUUAACACAUGCAAGUCGAACUGAAAGGCCCUGCUUUUGUGGGGUGCUCGAGUGGCGAACGGGUGAGUAACACGUGAGUAACCUGCCCUUGACUUUGGGAUAACUUCAGGAAACUGGGGCUAAUACCGGAUAGGAGCUCCUGCUGCAUGGUGGGGGUUGGAAAGUUUCGGCGGUUGGGGGUGGACUCGCGGCUUAUCAGCUUGUUGGUGGGGUAGUGGCUUACCAAGGCUUUGACGGGUAGCCGGCCUGAGAGGGUGACCGGCCACAUUGGGACUGAGAUACGGCCCAGACUCCUACGGGAGGCAGCAGUGGGGAAUAUUGCACAAUGGGCGGAAGCCUGAUGCAGCAACGCCGCGUGCGGGAUACGGCCUUCGGGUUGUAAACCGCUUUCGCCUGUGACGAAGCGUGAGUGACGGUAAUGGGUAAAGAAGCACCGGCUAACUACGUG
rnacentral:rRNA from 1 species